AGCGAACGCUGGCGGCAGGCCUAACACAUGCAAGUCGAGCGCCCAGCAAUGGGAGCGGCAGACGGGAUAGUAACACGUGGGAACGUACCUUUCAGUUCGGAACAACCAAGGGAAACUUUGGCUAAUACCGAAUACGCCCGUAAGGGGAAAGAUUUAUCGCUGAAAGAUCGGCCCGCGUCUGAUUAGCUAGUUGGUGAGGUAAUGGCUCACCAAGGCGACGAUCAGUAGCUGGUCUGAGAGGAUGAUCAGCAUCACUGGGACUGAGACACGGCCCAGACUCCUACGGGAGGCAGCAGUGGGGAAUAUUGGACAAUGGGCGCAAGCCUGAUCCAGCCAUGCCGCGUGAGUGAUGAAGGCCUUAGGGUUGUAAAGCUCUUUCGUCAGGGAAGAUAAUGACGGUACCUGAAGAAGAAGCCCCGGCUAACUUCGUGCCAGCCGCCGCAGUAAUAC
rnacentral:rRNA from 1 species